UACGUAGGGCGCAAGCGUUAUCCGGAAUUAUUGGGCGUAAAGAGCUCGUAGGCGGUUUGUCGCGUCUCGCCGUGAAAGUCCGGGGCUCAACUCCGGAUCUGCGGGUGGGUACGGGCAGACUAGAGUGAUGUAGGGGAGACUGGAAUUCCUGGUGUAGCGGUGAAAUGCGCAGAGUAUCAGGAGGAACACCGAUGGCGAAGGCAGGUCUCUGGGCAUUAACUGACGCUGAGGAGCGAAAGCAUGGGGAGCGAACAGG
rnacentral:rRNA from 1 species